GCGUGCUUAACACAUGCAAGUCGCACGAGAACGCUUCAGCUUGCUGAAGUUAGUAAAUUGGCGCACGGGUGAGUAACGCGUGGGUAAUCUUCCCCCGAAUUGGGGAUAACAUUGCGAAAGCGAUGCUAAUACCGGAUAAUAUCCUAAGUACUCAGGUACUUAAGAUCAAAGGUGGCCUCUACAUGUAAGCUACUGUUUGGGGAUGAGCCCGCGUACCAUUAGCUUGUUGGUAGGGUAACGGCCUACCAAGGCUGCGAUGGUUAGCUGGUCUGAGAGGAUGAUCAGCCACACUGGAACUGACACACGGUCCAGACUCCUACGGGAGGCAGCAGUGAGGAAUUUUGCGCAAUGGGGGAAACCCUGACGCAGCAACGCCGCGUGAGUGAUGAAGGCUUUCGGGUCGUAAAGCUCUGUCAAGUGGGAAGAAACCACCUGGUGCUAAUAUCACCAAGUGCUGACGGUACCACUGAAGGAAGCACCGGCUAACUCCGUGCCAGCAGCCGCGGUAAUACGGGGGGUGCAAGCGUUAUUCGGAAUUACUGGGCGUAAAGAGCGCGUAGGCGGUCUUUUAAGUCAGGUGUGAAAGCCCGGGGCUCAACCCCGGAAGUGCACUUGAAACUAAGAGACUUGAGUAUGGGAGAGGGAAGUGGAAUUCCUGGUGUA
rnacentral:rRNA from 1 species